rnacentral:rRNA from 1 species
UGAUGUGGUUUAAUUCGAUGCAACGCGAAAACUUACCCACCUUUGACAUGUACGGAAUCCUUUAGAGAUAGAGGAGUGCUCGAAAGAGAGCCGUAACACAGGUGCUGCAUGGCUGUCGUCAGCUCGUGUCGUGAGAUGUUGGUUAAGUCCCGCAACGAGCGCAACCCUUGUCAUUAGUUGCUACAUUCAGUUGGGCACUCUAAUGAGACUGCCGGUGACAAACCGGAGGAAGGGUGGGGAGUGACGUCAAGUCCUCAUGGCCCUUAUAGGUGGGGCUACACACGUCAUACAAUGGAUGGUACAAAGGGUCGCCAACCCGCGAGGGGGAGCCAAUCCCAUAAAGCCAUUCGUAGUCCGGAUCGCAGUCUGCAACUCGACUGCGUGAAGUCGGAAUCGCUAGUAAUCGUGGAUCAGAAUGUCACGGUGAAUACGUUCCCGGGUCUU